UACGUAGGGGGCAAGCGUUGUCCGGAAUCAUUGGGCGUAAAGCGCGUGUAGGCGGCUCGGUAAGUCCGCUCUGAAAGCCCGGGGCUCAACCCCGGGAGGCGGGUGGAUACUGUCGAGCUCGAGUCCGGAAGAGGAGUGUGGAAUUCCUGGUGUAGCGGUGAAAUGCGCAGAUAUCAGGAGGAACACCAAUGGCGAAGGCAGCACUCUGGGACGUGACUGACGCUGAGACGCGAAAGCGUGGGGAGCAAACAGG
rnacentral:rRNA from 1 species